rnacentral:rRNA from 1 species
GACGAACGCUGGCGGCGUGCUUAACACAUGCAAGUCGAACGGAAAGGCCUUUUCGGAGGUACUCGAGUGGCGAACGGGUGAGUAACACGUGGGUGAUCUGCCCUGCACUCUGGGAUAAGCCUGGGAAACUGGGUCUAAUACCGGAUAGGACCGCACUUUAGUGUGUGUGGUGGAAAGUUUUUUCGGUGUAGGAUGAGCCCGCGGCCUAUCAGCUUGUUGGUGGGGUAAUGGCCUACCAAGGCGGCGACGUGUAGCCGGACUGAGAGGUUGGUCGGACACAUUGGGACUGAGAUACGGCCCAGACUCCUACGGGAGGAAGCAGUGGGGAAUAUUGCACAAUGGGCGCAAGCCUGAUGCAGCGACGCCGCGUGGGGGAUGACGGCCUUCGGGUUGUAAACUCCUUUCGCCAGGGACGAAGCGUUUUGUGACGGUACCUGGAGAAGAAGCACCGGCUAACUACGUG